CUGGAGAAAAUAUGGACAGAAACAGGUGAAGGGCAGCGAGUAUCCACGGAGUUAUUACAAAUGCACACAUCCAAAUUGCCCAGUUAAGAAGAAAGUGGAACGCUCUCAUGAGGGCCACAUAACAGAGAUCAUAUACAAGGGGGCUCACAACCAUCCCAAACCUCCACCUAACCGGCGGGCAGCUAUUGGAUCGUCAAAUCCACUAUUGGAUGUGCAACCAGAUGUCCCAGAGCAAACUGGACUACAAGGUGGUAUGGAUAAUGAUCCUGUUUGGUCAAGUGCACAAAAGGGAACUGCUGCUGGAACUCCUGAGUGGAGACAUGACAAUGUUGAGGUGACAUCUUCAGCUUCCGUGGGUCCUGAAUUUGGCAAUCCCUCUUCCUCGAUGCAGGCUCAGAAUGGCAAUAACUUUGAAUCAGGUGAUGCUGUUGAUGCCUCAUUUACUUUUUCUAAUGAUGAAGAUGAAGAUGAUCGGGCUACACAUGGAAGUGUGGGUUAUGAUGGUGAAGGAGAUGAAUCUGAGUCAAAGAGAAGGAAAAUUGAAACUUAUCCAACUGACAUGGGAGGAGCUACUAGAGCUAUUAGGGAGCCUAGAGUUGUUGUCCAGACUACCAGUGAAGUGGAUAUCCUUGAUGAUGGAUAUCGCUGGCGCAAGUAUGGGCAGAAAGUCGUGAAAGGAAAUCCAAAUCCCAGGUGAUUAAAGCUUACGAAAUUAUGAUUUAUCAUUUUGUCACCUUCUUUGUGCAGUGCAGCUGCCCCCCUCUACAUUUUUCUUAAUUUGUUUUAUUUUUUUUAUUAGAUUUUGAUUGGGAUUUGAACUUGUAAUUUCACACCCUGGGGACAAUUCUAGUAUCAAUGAGCUAGCGCUUUCUCUCUCUAAUUUGGGUUGCACAGUAGGUAACUUACAGUUCAACUUAAAACUGAACAUUUGGUCCAUUGCAGGAGUUAUUACAAGUGUACUAAUGCAGGCUGCACAGUGAGGAAGCAUGUGGAAAGGGCAUCACAUGACCUUAAAUCAGUGAUUACUACAUACGAGGGGAAGCACAAUCAUGAUGUUCCUGCUGCUCGUAAUAGCAGCCAUGUCAACUCUGUGGCCUCUAGUACCGGACCUGUACAAGCUGGCACAGCUGUUCAAACCCAUGUUCAUAGACCGGAACCAUCACAAAUUCACAACAGCAUGACUAGGUUUGAGAGGUCUGCUGCAUAUGGAUCCUUCAGCCUCCCAGGAAGGCAGCAGCUGGGGCCUGCCCCAAGCUUCUCCUUUGGUAUGAAUCAACAAGGCUUGGCCAAUCUGGCAAUGGCUGGAUUGGGUCCCGGCCAACCCAAGAUGCCCGUUAUGCCUGUCCACCCAUAUUUAGCACAGCAACGUCCGAUGAAUGAAAUGGGGUUCCUGCUGCCCAAAGGAGAACCUAAGGUGGAGCCUAUGUCAGAACCAAGUUUGAACCUAUCCAACAAUCCAUCAAUAUAUCAGCAAAUCAUGAGUAGGCUGCCGCUUGGACCGCAAAUGUAAAUUUAUUAUUUUUUUAAUUUAUUUUUUUUCCCCUUCAAAUAUUAAUUUAUCAUUGGUAUUAUUAAUUUUGUUUCUGUUGCAAGGAAAAUAGAAAUAUUUACUUCUUUAUAUAUGGAUUGUCAUUUCACUAGUUGGUCUUCCUUUUCUUGCCUGACUUCUGAACAGUAUCUUAU
rnacentral:misc_RNA from 1 species